rnacentral:rRNA from 1 species
UGGGGAAUAUUGCACAAUGGGCGCAAGCCUGAUGCAGCCAUGCCGCGUGUGUGAAGAAGGCCUUCGGGUUGUAAAGCACUUUCAGCGGGGAGGAAGGCGAUAAGGUUAAUAACCUUGUCGAUUGACGUUACCCGCAGAAGAAGCACCGGCUAACUCCGUGCCAGCAGCCGCGGUAAUACGGAGGGUGCAAGCGUUAAUCGGAAUUACUGGGCGUAAAGCGCACGCAGGCGGUUUGUUAAGUCAGAUGUGAAAUCCCCGGGCUCAACCUGGGAACUGCAUCUGAUACUGGCAAGCUUGAGUCUCGUAGAGGGGGGUAGAAUUCCAGGUGUAGCGGUGAAAUGCGUAGAGAUCUGGAGGAAUACCGGUGGCGAAGGCGGCCCCCUGGACGAAGACUGACGCUCAGGUGCGAAAGCGUGGGGAGCAAACAGGA